GUGCUCACUUCAGCAACACAUAGACUAAACCUUGGAACCACACAGAGAAGAGCACGUCUCCCGUGGAAGGAUGAUACAAAAAUCCAUAAAACAUUUCAUU
rnacentral:snRNA from 1 species